AUGUCUAAGUCCAAGAACCACACACACAACCAGUCCCAAAAACUGCACAGAAAUGGCAUCAAGAAACUCUGAUCACAAAGAUAUGAAUCUCUUAAGGGGGAUGGGCCCUGAGUUCCUGAGGAACAUGUGCUUUGCCAAGAAGCACAACAAGAAGGGCCCAAAGAAGAUGCAGGCCAACAGUGCCAAGGCCAUGAGUGCACGUGCCAAGGCUAUCGAGGCCCUCGUAAAGCCCAAGGAGGUUAAGCCCAAGAUCCCAAAGGGAGUCAGCUGCAAGCUUGAUCGACUUGCCUAUAUUGCCCUACCCCAAGCUUGGGAAGUAUGCUAGUGCCCUCAUUGCCCAGGGGCUCAGGCUGUGCUGGCCAAAGGCCAAGGCCAAGGCCAAGGAAUAAAUCAAGACCCAGACUGCAGCUCCAGCUCCAGUUCCAGCUCAGGCUUCCUAGGUGCCCAGCCUCCCACAAAGGCUUCAGAGUAG
rnacentral:lncRNA from 1 species